GAGACACUGCCCAGACUCCUACGGCAGACUGCAGUCGAGGUUCUUUAGCAAUGCCAGAAAGGGUGACUAUGCGACGCCGCGUGGAGGAUGAAGGCCUUCGGGUUGUAAACUCCUGUCAGGGGGGAAGAAACCUUACGUGUUAAUAGCGCGUAAGCUGACAUCACCCCCAAAGGAAGCCACGGCUAACUCUGUGCCAGCAGCCGCGGUAAGACAGAGGUGGCAAGCGUUGUUUGGAUUUAUUGGGUGUAAAGGGCAGGUAGGUGGUUAUACAAGUCUGGUGUGAAAUCCCAGGGCUCAACCCUGGAACUGCAUUGGAAACUGUAUGACUUGAGUACCGGAGAGGUGAGGGGAAUUCUCGGUGUAAGGGUGAAAUCUGUAGAUAUCGAGAGGAACACCAGUGGCGAAGGCGCCUCACUGGCCGGUUACUGACACUGAGCUGCGAAAGCAAGGGGAGCAAACAGGAUUAGAUACCCU
rnacentral:rRNA from 1 species